AAAAGGGAAAGGGGACAAAAGAACAGAAAGGGAGAAAAUCUGAAAAAUUGGGAAGGAGCUUCGGGGGGCCGGGGGAGGGGUGAAACAGAAGAGAGAGCAAGAGAAUACAGAGAGAGGUAGAGGGAACAAGACAGCAAAAUCUGGAAAUAAGGAACAAAAGGAAAAAAAAGAAACCGAGCAAGAAGGGAGAAACUGAGGAGGAAUUGCGGGCAAGAAGGAAAGAAAAAGGAGAAAAGACUUGGCGGAGGCAUUGAAGCUUGUUGCUAGUUCCGAAAUUCUUCCAUUACUACCUGCGAAAUUUCUCCGAAAGAUAAAGCACUGACGUGACGAUGAUCAAAGCCAUCCUUUGGGAGAAAACUUUUGAAGUUAUCUUUGCUUGAACUGGUGAGUAUUACUACCUCUGUUCUGUGUGUGGUGUUCGGGCCCGACAACAGGUAUGUUUGGUGGACGCAAUUUGAUAUCAAGUGGGGUCUACGGUCAUGUUUGUUUCCUCAAACAUUGAUGGAGCGUCAACAAGUUGGGAUCAAGUACUGCAACGGAAAUUUGGCUCUUGAGAGCAACCUGUAUCUUUUCUAUAUGAGGUGUUUGUUCAUUUCCUUAUAUGAUGUGUAUAUGUGUCUUAAAAGUAAAAUGCCAUAAUUCUUGACUACUUGUACUUGUGGUAUCUCAUUGAGCGUAAGUUUACCUCGUUCCCGUUAUCAUUGUUUUCCUUACAGGGAUCAAAAUUUUGAGAGUUAUGAUUUUUGAAGAAAGAGUCGAACUAGUGUAAACAUUCUUUUGAUUAUGCUCCUCUGUAGCCGAAAUCCUAAUUGUAUUUUAUAUACGUAUGGUUAUUAUGGCUUGUAUUUCAAGUUAACUUGUUGAAAACUCUGAUUUAUAUAUGUAUAUAACUAUGUAAUCAAGUGUUUCAAGCGUAUUUGUUUGACA